AUGACCAGGAAUGAAAUCCAAGUGGCACCAUUGCAUCAAAUCAUUCUCACCCUUCCCUCUCUCUUCCUUGCAGCCAGAACGAUUGCCAUGGAUGCUGGAAACCCAUCACUGUUGCAACACCGGCAGAAGGAGCUGCAGGCAAAGCGGGACUCCUACAGUGAAGUGGAAUUGAAAAUGAAAGGCCUGCUAGAUUGCAAAAAUUCUUGGAAAAAACUGGAUGACAUACGGAUGGCCUUUUGGUUUUAUCGAUCCCCCGUCACAGGUCAGUAUCCUCCACAGAUAAACCAGACUUAUUAAUCUAGACCUCCCAACAAAGGAUUCCCCCAGGCAGGGAGCAGCCAGGCUUUGAAACUGCAGGGCUUUUCAAUGCUAAUCAAGCUGGCCAAUUGCAACAUUCAAACUUGCCUCAAACAGACAAGAGCUCUUUCUCCCACCCUGAACAUUAAUUCACAGGUAUGCAAACCCCACUUGCCUAGUUUCCAACAGACCUCACAACCUCUGAGGAUGUUUGCCAUAAAUGUGGGCAAAACAUCAGGAGAGAAUGCUACCGGAACAUAGCCAUACAGCCCGGAAAACUCCCAGCAACCCUGUGAUUCUGGCCAUGAAAGUCUUUGACAAAACUUUAGCCUCAACAGUGCAAUUUAUCCAAUUAAUAAUAAUAAUAAUAAUAAUAAUAAUAAUAAUAAUAAUAAUAACAACUACUUUAUUUUUAUACCCCGCCCCAUCUCCCCGAAGGAGCUCGGGGCAGCUUACAUGGGGCCUAGUCCGAUAAAACAAUCAAAUAUCAAUGAUAAAACAAUAAAACAAUUAUACCAAUAGAACCUCAAUUAUCAGUAAAACAA
rnacentral:lncRNA from 1 species